UGGGGAAUAUUGCACAAUGGGGAACCGUGAUGCAGCGACGCCGCGUGAAGGAAGAAGUAUCUCGGUAUGUAAACUUCUAUCAGCAGGGAAGAAAAUGACGGUACCUGACUAAGAAGCCCCGGCUAACUACGUGCCAGCAGCCGCGGUAAUACGUAGGGGCAAGCGGUUAUCCGGAUUUACUGGGUGUAAAGGGAGCGUAGACGGAGCAGCAAGUCUGAUGUGAAAGGCAGGGGCUCAACCCCUGGACUGCAUUGGAAACUGUUGAUCUUGAGUACCGGAGGGGUAAGCGGAAUUCCUAGUGUAGCGGUGAAAUGCGUAGAUAUUAGGAGGAACACCAGUGGCGAAGGCGGCUUUACUUGG
rnacentral:rRNA from 1 species